rnacentral:rRNA from 1 species
GACAGAGGAUGCAAGCGUUAUCCGGAAUGAUUGGGCGUAAAGCGUCUGUAGGUGGCUUUUCAAGUCCGCCGUCAAAUCCCAGGGCUCAACCCUGGACAGGCGGUGGAAACUACCAAGCUGGAGUACGGUAGGGCAGAGGGAAUUCCGGUGGAGCGGUGAAAUGCAUUGAGAUCGGAAAGAACACCAACGGCGAAGCAGCUCUAGCUGGGCCGACACUGACACUGAGAGACGAAAGCUAGGGAGCAAUGGG